rnacentral:rRNA from 1 species
UUGACCUCGGAUCAGGCAGGGAUACCCGCUGAACUUAAGCAUAUCAAUAAGCGGAGGAAAAGAAACCAACAGGGAUUGCCUCAGUAACGGCGAGUGAAGCGGCAACAGCUCAAAUUUGAAAUCUGGCUCUUUUAGGGUCCGAGUUGUAAUUUGUAGGGGAUGCUUCGGCGUCGGCUCCGGUCUAAGUUCCUUGGAACAGGACGUCAUAGAGGGUGAGAAUCCCGUAUGUGAUCGGUUGCCCUUGCCAUGUGAAGCUCCUUCGCCGAGUCGAGUUGUUUGGGAAUGCAGCUCUAAAUGGGAGGUAAAUUCUUCUAAAGCUAAAUACUGGCCAGAGACCGAUAGCGCACAAGUAGAGUGAUCGA